rnacentral:rRNA from 1 species
AGUAAAUAGAUACCCGGGUAGUCCUAGCCGUAAACGAUACUCGCUAGGUGUCGGCCACGGUGCGACCGUUGUCGGUGCCGUAGGGAAAGCCGUGAAGCGAGCCACCUGGGAAGUACGACCGCAAGGCUGAAACUUAAAGGAAUUGGCGGGGGAGCACCACAACGGGUGGAGCUUGCGGUUUAAUUGGAUUCAACGCCGGAAAUCUUACCGGGACCGACAGCAAUAUGAAGGCCAGGCUGAAGACUUUGCCGGAUUAGCUGAGAGGUGGUGCAUGGCCGUCGUCAGUUCGUACUGUGAAAGCAUCCUGUUAAGUCAGGCAACGAGCGAGACCCACGCCCACAGUUGCCAGCGUACUCUCUGGAGUGACGGGUACACUGUGGGGACCGCCGCUGCUAAAGCGGAGGAAGGAAUGGGCAACGGUAGGUCAGUAUGCCCCGAAUAUCCCGGGCUACACGCGAGCUACAAUGGUUGGUACAAUGGGUAUCUACCCCGAAAGGGGACGGGAAUCUCCUAAAACCAAUCUUAGUUCGGAUUGGGGGCUGCAACUCGCCCUCAUGAAGCU